CCUUGAGGGUCCUGAAGGAACGUUGAAGACGACGACGUUGAUAGGCCGGGUGUGUAAGCGCAGCGAUGCGUUGAGCUAACCGGUACUAAUGAACCGUGAGGCUUAACCUUACAACGCCGAAG
rnacentral:rRNA from 1 species